rnacentral:rRNA from 1 species
GACGAACGCUGGCGGCGUGCUUAACACAUGCAAGUCGAACGGAAAGGCCCUGCUUUUGUGGGGUGCUCGAGUGGCGAACGGGUGAGUAACACGUGAGUAACCUGCCCUUGACUUUGGGAUAACUUAAGGAAACUGGGGCUAAUACCGGAUAGGAGCUCCUGUUGCAUGGUGGGGGUUGGAAAGUUUCGGCGGUUGGGGAUGGACUCGCGGCUUAUCAGCUUGUUGGUGGGGUAGUGGCUUACCAAGGCUGUGACGGGUAGCCGGCCUGAGAGGGUGACCGGGCACAUUGGGACUGAGAUACGGCCCAGACUCCUACGGGAGGCAGCAGUGGGGAAUAUUGCACAAUGGGAGGAAGCCUGAUGCAGCAACGCCGCGUUCGGGAUGACGGCCUUCGGGUUGUAAACCGCUUUCGCCUGUGACGAAGCGUGAGUGACGGUAAUGGGUAAAGAAGCACCGGCUAACUACGUG